rnacentral:misc_RNA from 1 species
GAUGAAGAACGUAGCGAAAUGCGAUAAGUAGUGUGAAUUGCAGAAUUCAGUGAAUCAUCGAAUCUUUGAACGCACAUUGCGCCUCCUGGCAUUCCGGGAGGCAUGCCUGUUCGAGCGUCAUCAAACCCCAUCGUGCAAAUGAAUCAUUUUUUUUGCGCGGAAGUGACGAUUGAGCGAGAAUAACAAAUCCUCUCGCACCUCGUCGAAAUGAUUGCGGGCGGAAUUUGGGAUCGGGUUCCUCGGCGUAGUGUAUCAAUGCAUAUUUAUGCAACUUGCCGCGGAGUUGAGCCUGACCCACGCGUUCUCGCCGUACAAACACCUCAUUACUUUACAAGUUUUUGACCUCGGAUCAGGUAGGGAUACCCGCUGAACUUAAGCAUAUCAAUAAGCGGAGGA